AAGGCUCCACUUUCAGGGAGCAUUUCUACAGUUUGUUACUAGAAACGCCGCUGAUUGUGUGUGUAGAGAGUUGGAAGCCACGAGGAGGCUCUGUGCUCUCUCCUGAGCGUGAAGCUGGCUGUUGGUGUUGCUCUGAAGCUCCUGCCGUGUGCCCUGGGUGAUCGCCCUUCUUCUCCUUUGGGGAAGUAAGAGGGGUGGUCUCGUGGC